rnacentral:ribozyme from 9 species
AAGAGGGUGGAGAAGAGAGCGAGCUUCAUUAUUUGCUGUUUGUUGUUAUUAUUUGUUGUUUGUUCAAAAAAAAAAAAGAAAAGAAGAGAUA